AUUGAACGCUGGCGGCAGGCCUAACACAUGCAAGUCGAACGAGUGGCGGACUGGUGAGUAAUGUCUGGGAAACUGCCUGAUGGAGGGGUAUAACUACUGGAAACGGUAGCUAAUACCGCAUACCAUCGGAUGUGCCCAGAUGGGAUUAUCUAGUAGGUGGGGUAGAGGCUCACCUAGGCGACGAUCCCUAGCUGGUCUGAGAGGAUGACCAGCCACACUGGAACUUAGACACGGUCCAGACUCCUACGAGAGGCAGCAGUGGGGAAUAUUGCACAAUGGGCGCAAGCCUGAUGCAGCCAUGCCGCGUGUAUGAAGAAGGCCUUCGGGUUGUAAAGUACUUUCAGCGGGGAGGCGUUACCCACAGAAGAAGCACCGGCUAACUCCGUGCCAGCAGCCGCGGUAAUAC
rnacentral:rRNA from 1 species